UUGCCUGCCUCUCCCCCCUAUUUUAGCAUAAUCAUUUAAAGAGCUUAGUGUUCUUAAAGCGUUUGUGUGCUUAGACAUACUUCAAAAACUUUUGACAAUUCAGUCAAACAAAUAUACAUAGUAAACUGUAGAAAAUACCAACACUGAUUGAUGAGAUUCUUCAACCUGCGUUUUUUAAAUUCUCCUACAGAUAUGGAAACAACCGCGUCUACAGCACAGCAUGCAUUUGGAGCGGGCCCUCGUGGGCCCAACCCAGCCCAUGGACCUCAGCCGGGCCAGGGCCCCCGACACCCAGGCCAUCCUGGACCUUACGGAGUUCCACGUCCUGAGGAUCAGCCCCCACACCAACAAGUAAGCAUUUAUGGCAAGUGAAUGUAGCGGCUGUUCGUUGGACUUGUUGGACUUUCCUUCUGUCUAAAUAGUUACGAAGAUCCUCCCGUGUGAUACUUGGGGUAUAUUCAUUAGUCUUAGUCCGUUGCUAAACUCAAUGUAAAAUGUUUUACAACAGUUUAUUGGACAAACUCAGCUGCGUAUUCGUUAGUUAAUGCAAUGGAAACAAACUGCGCAAACAAGGGAGGGGUCAUACUUAAUUUUGUCCAACAAACUCGUUUUCGUUUUGCAUCAAUCUAAUGAAUACAUCCCUGGUAGGUCUCCCCGCUUUGUUCCGUUAGUUUAGAGUAAACGAAUGUUUUCUGUUGAAAAACAUUUGCAACUAAAUGUGUGUAAUUAAACUAAUGCGUACAACCCUGGAUUACCUGUCACAAAUUAACUGGGAUGUAUUUGUUAAUCGAAUUCUGUGUGGGAACAGUACUCUAAACGGAUAAUGUUCUGUAACAAAUGCAUGAUUCUAUUUUACAAAACGGCGUUUUGUUUAAACAUUUGCAACAGACGAUUUAUUUGACCUUUUAUUUAACUAGGCAAGUCAGUUAGGAACAUUCUUAUUCUCAAAGGGGCAGAACGACAGAUUAUUACCUUAUCAGCUCGGGGAUUCGAUCUUGCAACCUUUCGGUUACAAGUCCAACGCUCUAACCACUAGGCUACCUGCCGCAUGCACAACAAUGUUGCGCAACGGAAUCUGACUAAAUACACCUGAGGCAAGAGCAUGUCAUUGAACUGUUUACUCUAAUCUGUAUCCUGUGAAUAUAAAAAAUCUACUUUGUCAUUUGAGCACCAGCAGCCCCAUCACCACAUCCAGCACAGCAGACCAUUCUUCUACAUACACCCUUCCCAGCCAUACCCUUCCCAGCCAUACCCUUCCCAGCCAUACCCUUCCCAGCCAUACCCUUCCCAGCUAUACCCCUCUGCUCUACCCUAUCAGUGGCCCAUGCCAUACAACCCUUACUGCGGCUUCCCUGGGAUGGGAGGUUAUGGUAUGAUACCGAGUCCCUUCCAGCCCAGUCCCUACAUAGAGCCUCCGGGUUACAUCCUACCCCACUCUCAGCUCCACCUGGCGGACUACAGGCGUAUGAUCAACCCCCACUACCACACCACCCACUACCCACAGACCAUGGCUUACCAUGCACGCAGGUUCCGCUACCAGCACAAUGCUCCAGCCACCAGCAGGGAGAUGAUCAACUCUGAGGUACAGACUGAGCCCACAUUAGGAGCAGCACGCUCUGACCCCAAACUCUCGAACGCUGACUCGUCUAUGAAAAGUAAUGUCCAAACCAACUCUGAAUCUGGCAGCGACACCAGUUGCACAGCUGCCCAGUCACUAUCCCCAGCCUCUGUUGUGCAGGAGGUGAUGUCUAAAUCACCAGCCUACCAGGACAUUGUAUUGGCACCCACCCCCAACAACACUCCUAUCUCCACCAGAUCUGCUGCCCCCCAGAAGGGCAGUUUUGUAUUCCAGACAGAGGUGGAGGAGUUGAGGCUGGAGUGCCACAGCACGCCCACAGGGUUAAAUAUCCUCCACUCCCAUGAGACAUCUGAACUGUGCACCGCCCACAGCGUGUCUGGGACCGAUGAAGACUUGGUGCAGCUCUGCUCUUCCUCCUCCCUCCACCACCACAAGGCCUCACAGGGCAGGAUGCUCCAUGGCCGGGAUGGGAUGGGUUUGGUUGGGGAGGGGGAUCAGUGUCUCCAGCAAGCCUGCACGGAUAUACUUCUAAUGGAUGGGUCGCCCUCGAGUGGCGGACCAGGUAACUUCCUUGCUCUUGACGAUUGUGACUCUUUCAUCGCGAAAACACUGGUCGAACGACCAGGGAUUUCUGAAUCCGAUAUGGACUACAGAGUGGUGGUCCAAAGCCACAACGCCGAUGUUCCUCAACUUACAAGGAAUGACGGAGAACUGAGUGGGAACGGCUCCAAGAGUGUCUAUUUUAAGAUCCUCCACCUGCCCUUUGACAUGCAGUACUUAGAAGAGCUGAGGAAGAUUGAGGCGUCUGUGUGGUCGGCGUCUCUGGCACCGUACGUCCCCUCAGCAGAGUUUAUGAUCCAGCAGGGCCUGAUGGAGCCCCACAGGGAGGCACUGAGCCCCGUGGACGUGGAGGAAGUCCCCAUGGUGGAGGAAGUUCCCACGGCGGAGGUGGUCCCCAUAGUUGAGGUUGAGGUCUCUGGGGCGGAGAAGGUCCCCACAGCUGAGGUGGUCUCUCUGGAGGAAGUCCCCAUGGCGGAGAGCCCUUUGAAUGAAAAUGUAUCAAUGGCAGAGAUGAUCCCCAAUGUGAUGGAGGUACCUGCAAUAUCCAGUCUUAACAAAACGGACAAUGCUCCCACAUCUCCAGAGACCAGUCAAAAGAGGGGUGUGGUGAGUGACCUUGAUCAUCAGGAUACCUCCUUUGGGGGGUUACCCACAUACCGUCCCUCAACUAGCUGGCUGGGUGACUUUGGCAACGUCUACUAUCACAGCAAGAUGCCUUCUGAUGUUGAGGAGCAGCGCAAGAUCCUCAGAGGCAGCCCACUUAAGGUGUCUAGCCCCAAAGGGAAACCAGACCAAGAGCCUAAAGAUCCUCGUGUUUCAGUCACUACAACCGCUCCACUCAGGCUUAAGGGAGAGGGAUGGAGACUCGGAGACAAGGUUGACAGGAGGAGCUACUCUGAUCAAGAGUUCUGUGCUAACCGGACCUUCAAUGUGAACACGGGGACCUCUGGUGGCCACAAAAGGGAGCGCAUCUGUGCCAGAUGUUUGACGACAAAAUGCAGAGUGAACAAGAUACCUGGCAGUCCAGGACCAGGCCUGGAUGCUCUGAUUGUAAAACGACAAGGGGUCCCCGUUCCACCAUGGGAGGAAUAUAUCCUAGCCCAGACGUGUGCAGCCUGCAAAUGCCUCGCCCGGAGGCGGGUAACGAGGAAAGGUUCCGGGUCAGAUGUUCCCAGCGGACCACAAAACGAAGAGACGGAGGGUGAGACCUCUGAGAACAGUUCGUGUCGGGCAGGACCGAGGCCCAAACUGAGGGACCCCAGGAGGCCUCAGUCCUCCAUGAAGCGACACUCUGAGGCAAGUACUGCACACUGUUGUACACUGGCGAAUGACACUAUUUGAUAUAUAGUGCGCUACUUUUGACUAAGGCCAACCUAUACACAUUCUAUGCUUCCAUUAAGUUUGGUUUUUACUUCCCGUUUUAUACACCAGCUGAAAAUACCACAAUUUUGGUUUUAAUGGUGCUAUGAUUCUCCUCACUAUACUUGUUUUUGUCAAACUGAAUUUAGGCAAACUAUUAGAAUUUUUGCAACCAGGAAAUGGUCAGUGGUUGGAAGAGGUACCCAAUUGUCAUGACUUGAGUAUAAGUGAAAGUCACCUGGUAAAAUGGAUUUAAAGUCCAGAAGUAUUGGCUGUAAAAUAUACUUGAGUAUCAAAGUAUAUCAUUUCACAUUCCUUAUUAAGCAAACAAUUAUUUAUUUACAGAUAGCCAGGGGCACACCAACACUAAGACAUAAUUUACAAACUAAGCGUUUGUGUUUAGUGAUUCUGGCAGAUCUGAGGCAGUAGGGAUGACCAGGGAUGUUCUCUGGAAGUGCAUGAUUGGACCAAUUUCCUGUCAAUGUAAUGAUUACUUUUGGGUGUCAGGGAAAAUGGAUGGAGUAAAAUGUACAUGACUUUCUUCAGGAAUGUAAUGAAGUAAGUGGUCAAAUAUAAAGUACAGAUACUUAAGUACUUUACACCACUGGAAAUGCGGCGUGUUUUCUGCAGUGCACCUUUAAGUGGUCAAAUGCAUUCUUGAUCCAUCCAGCAGUGUCCCAUGGGUCCGCACUCAAAACUGAGGGAGAAGAACUGUUCCUGUGAAGAGCCCCAUCGGCCCCCUACUGCUGUGUUGGGGGGGCCGCGACGCCAUCCCCAUGGCAAUGUCAUCAGGGAGCGAAAUGAGGAGAACCUUGGGGUGUCUGUCCCACUUCAGGACACAUGGAGAAACCAAGACCAACACCAGGACCAAUGCUACCUCACGGCACAGAAAUCUCAAGAAGAGAAGUUGUGGAAAGCGGCUUUGUCCAACCCUGACAACAAUGAAAGUAAUAUUAAGCUCGGACCCAGACACUUGAUUAAACAGAAGAAACACAUUUCUCAAUCACAAGGUAGUGCUCUACUGUAAAAACCCUACUGUACAGUACUGUGUAACACUUUUAGCAGCUUUUGAAAUGUUAUGUCACCUUUUUGGUAAAUUCCAACAUUUGUUUCCCCCCUCAGGACUUCACAGAAAAGACACAAGAUGCUAAUUUUUCACGAGCACAUUGUAACAAGUGAAGUAAAUGCGCUUUUAUUGUUAUCCUCUACACUUACGAAUUAACUCUUAAAGCUCACCAUGUAUGUACUCACUAUUUAUGAAAUGUACAAUAAAUAAACACUU